UACGUAGGGGGCAAGCGUUGUCCGGAUUUAUUGGGCGUAAAGAGCGUGUAGGCGGCCUGAAAGGUCAGCUGUGAAAACUCGAGGCUCAACCUCGAGACGUCGGUUGAAACCAUCUGGCUAGAGUCCGGAAGAGGAGUGUGGAAUUCCCGGUGUAGCGGUGAAAUGCGCAGAUAUCGGGAAGAACACCCGUGGCGAAGGCGGCUCACUGGCCCGUUACUGACGCUCAGGCGCGACAGCGUGGGGAUCAAACAGG
rnacentral:rRNA from 1 species